UCCUAAGAGAAAAGGAAUAUCAUUUAUUGCCUCUUGCAAAGUAAAUACUCCUCUAUUUAACUGACGGGAUGAACCAAUGAUGUCAUUUAACAGUUUGUUUGUUGGUGAUCUCUACUGCUGAAAUCUCAUUAACAUACACAUUUACUCCUUUGAUCUUCACGAUAAUCCCAUGGAAUUGGCAAGUAAAAGGCAUUAUUGACAUUUUACAGCUUUUUCAGGAGUUAAGCUGCCUUCGCAAUGAGGAUCAAACCUGCAGCUUACAGCUUAUAGACUCGAUGUAUGUAAGCAAAAUGGGGAAUUGCCAAGUCUACCUUAAAAUGGCCAUUUGCCAUACAGUUACUUGAUAGACCCAUUAAAUUCCAGUAAAUUCAAAAUGUUCCAAUGUGGCUAAUUAUUCCAGAAAUGCCAAUAAAAAUGAAAUGUGAUGUUCCCCA
ensembl:lncRNA LINC02791 long intergenic non-protein coding RNA 2791